GGAGGUUUAGCUCAGUGGUAGAGCACUUGCCUAGCAAGCGCAAGGCCCUGGGUUCAGUCCCCAGCUCCG
rnacentral:tRNA from 1 species